AUCGAACGCUGGCGGCAGGCCUAACACAUGCAAGUCGAACGAGUGGCGGACGGGUGAGUAAUGUCUGGGAAACUGCCUGACGGAGGGGGAUAACUACUGGAAACGGUGGCUAAUACCGCAUACCAUCAGAUGUGCCCACAUGGGCUUAGCUUGGUGGUGGGGUAACGGCUCACCAAGGCGACGAUCCCUAGCUGGUCGGAGAGGAUGACCAGCCACACGGGAACUGAGACACGGCCCAGACUCCUAAGGGAGGCAGCAGUGGGGAAUAUUGGACAAUGGGCGCAAGCCUGAUGCAGCCAUGCCGCGUGUAUGAAGAAGGCCUUCGGGUGGUAAAGUACUGUCAGCGGGGAGGCGUUACCCGCAGAGGAAGCACCGGCUAACUCCGUGCCAGCAGCCGCGGUAAUUC
rnacentral:rRNA from 1 species